AGGCCUGGUGGGAGAAUAAGAUGAAAGUUGAAGGACGUUCCCAAACACAUUCUUAUCUUCCUCUUUUCACAAUCUGUUCAACCAGCGGGAGAGUUACUGCAAGGGUUAUCCAAAAUGACGGCCAACUUACAAAUCAUUGUUACUGUGUUUGAAGCUUUAGCUCAUCUACUACAUCCUGCUCACUGAAAAUAAGUUGGCAGGGUAGUUAGCGGAACAUGCAACUUAGAAAAAUUGGACCCUGAACUUCAAAUUUUUUUCAAGAUUUUUGAAUGUGGAAAGCAAGCCAUUUGCAUGCAAAUAACAGUACCCACUAUUUAACAAGACACUUGAAGGCAAGGUAAUAAAUUCUGCCCUGUGAACAUACCACCAUAUAGAACAAAAAACAAAGAAAGCAGGAAAAGAAUGCAGAAAUUUGGACCACCUAAUAGCUGAGAAUGUUCCUGAAACAAUGCCUUUGCUGUUCCAGAUCGCAGGAUUAAAAGUGAGGGGUUGAACAGUUCUGCAUUAUACAACGUAUUUCUGGGCAUUCCUGGUGAAAAAGGAGAAAAAUGGGCCUGGUGACACUUAUAUCACAUUUCAUUUUGAAAAAUCAUCAAACAUCCAAAAAAAAAUCAUCGGUUCUAAGGUCACAAGAAAAUGUUUGAGGAAGACUCAAGAUGGCCAUGGAUUUUUUAAUUUUCCUCUCCUUGAGAGGUGGGGUCUAACUCCUUCACCCUUGAAUCUGAACUGGCCUUAGAGAUUUUCUUGACUAAUAAAAAUUAGCAGAUGUGAUCUUCUGGGACUUUCCAGGCUGAUGCAUAAAUAGCCUUAUAGCCCAUUCCUGGGACUCUUGGAACACUCCUUCUUGUACUCUAAGCUGCCAGGUAAGAAGUUCGACUUCUAUAGUGGAGCAACCAUGAGACCACGUGGAGAGGACAUGGUCCAGCCUUCAGCUGUCCAUGGCAAAGUGCCAGGAAAUCCCGGCAAUUCUUGUUGAAAUUGGAAUCCUGCGGAGAAAUGAGCAGAGAAUGUCUCCAAGUUCCCACGGCCCCGCAUAAAAGUGAUCAAAGUGUGGUCCUGAGUCCCCACCCGAGACUGCUUCUUAACAUGCUUGUACCCCAGGUUACCUCCGGAAAAAAAGACUGAAUCAGCCUCCGCAGCUAGUUCAGUUCUAUUUCUCAUUCCUCUACUUCUAGGGCAACACAUUCGUGUUUUUCAUGUGAAUUACACCCUCAAGAUUGUAAAGUUUAGUAGUCACAAGGCUGAAGUCACACCACUUUUCAAUCUCUUAAAUAGCAUAUGCUUAGUUUCCAGAUGGAAAAAUGAAUAUUCACCACAGCUCCAUGAGGAAUACCAAUUUCCCAUCACUCCCUAGCAUUGGGCGAUGCAGUUAUAAUACUGUGCUAAUUUAGGGCAUUUUCUGGUCCUCCGAGCCUCAUAUUUACAUACGAGCUGAAACUGCAAAUGGAAAUGAAUGGAGAUGAUGAUAUUUGCUUUAUCUCAAUUUUUCUGUGAGAAGGAGAAAAGCACUUAAGCUUGAAAUAAGCAGAUGUGAAAACACUUCUCACUAAUCAAAAUGUUUACCACUAGGUUAGAAGAGGCUGCCUGUUUGGAGGCAUAGAACCCGAUAUGUAUACUUAGCAAGAUAAGUGUAUUUAGUGUGAUAGAACCUUGGAGCAGAACUUUUGCAGCUUAGUCCAGAUGACAACUAGCAAUACCACAUUUCUUUAUCAGGCCUUUCACAGCUCAUGAACUUGAAUUCAAGAGUACCUCCUGCGUCUCUUUCACUACAGACUCACACCAACAUAUUGGGAGUUUCAAGUUACCAUACCCAGAAGUAGCAGAGAGGAAAAAAUGUCAAGAACAAUGAAAUGUCACUACAAGAUUCAAAGAAUUAGCUUUGUAAAAAUAUGUCAUAUUAAAUUAAGGAAACUUUAAUUGGAAUAAAGAAAAUUAGAUAUCUAAUAUUCUGGAAGACCAUAAAAAUUGUGCAACUGCCCUCAAUUUGAUCACAGGCAGUUUUAAACAUUCAUAACAACAGAAGACUUGUGAAAUUAUAUAUAUGAAGGUGACAGGAGAUUGCCAAUGUGAUUCUAUAAAGCGCUUGGCAUAACAAACCAGUCUAGAGAUCCACUUGCAUUUUCUUGAAUAAGACCACAGUGGUUUAAAAAUCACAGAAUCCCACCUCAAACUAGCUUAAGCUAUACAAUUGGUAUUCAACAAAGGUUAGGGAAUUAUCACAAUAAUAACUAAAAUUUAUGGGAUUUAUACCAUGUGAUAGGUAGUUCCUAACAUUUUACAUUGAUGCAUUCAUUUAAUCUUCACAAUAACGAGCAUCAGAAAUAUUCUUAGCGAUCCCAUUUUAUGCAUGAGGAAACUGAGGAGUAGCAGGGUCACAUAAGUCCCCCAAGUUAUACAGAUCAGAGGUGUCCAAGCCAGCUUUUGAUCCUAGGCAGGCCAGCUCUAGACUGCCUGACUCCACCCCCAACUAAUUUCUAGAAUAUGUGACUUUUUGAAGUUAUCAAUCAAGAAAAAGCAUUACCUUUUGACUUUAUUUUGGUAUCAGUUGGGAUCAUGGCUUUCAGAUUGAAAUCACAAGGCAGUAGUGAUCACUGCGACAGUGUCCACCUGUGAUGUUCCGAAGAAAGUCUGAUUGUGUUUAUUCUUAGAAUCUACCUCAUUCAGGGGGCGCCUGGGUGGCUCAGUCAGUUGAGCACCCUACUCUUGAUUUCGGCUUAGGUUGUGAUCGUGAGGUCGUGAGAUGGAGCCCUGCAUCACACUCAGCAG